AUCCCAGAUAAGCUUUCCUGGUGUUUAUCUGAUUCAUGGGAGGCCAAUAUGGAGGAAGUUUCUCUGAUAGCCCCUUUUUUUACUUCUAGGAGGGUCUUUUAAUUUUAGCUUUCCACAUAAAG